AUCAUGGCUCAGGAUGAACGCUAGCUACAGGCUUAACACAUGCAAGUCGAGGGGAAACGAUAUUGGAAGCUUGCUUCCGAUAGGCGUCGACCGGCGCACGGGUGAGUAACGCGUAUCCAACCUGCCCAUCACUUGGGGAUAACCUUGCGAAAGUAAGACUAAUACCCAAUGACGUCUCUAGAAGACAUCUGAAGGAGAUUAAAGAUUUAUCGGUGAUGGAUGGGGAUGCGUCUGAUUAGCUUGUUGGCGGGGUAACGGCCCACCAAGGCGACGAUCAGUAGGGGGUUCUGAGAGGAAGGUCCCCCACAUUGGAACUGAGACACGGUCCAAACUCCUACGGGAGGCAGCAGUGAGGAAUAUUGGUCAAUGGGCGAGAGCCUGAACCAGCCAAGUAGCGUGCAGGAUGACGGCCCUAUGGGUUGUAAACUGCUUUUAUAAGGGAAUAAAGUGGGAGUCGUGACUCUUUUUGCAUGUACCUUAUGAAUAAGGACCGGCUAAUUCCGUG
rnacentral:rRNA from 1 species